rnacentral:rRNA from 1 species
GACGUAGGGCGCGAGCGUUGUCCGGAUUUAUUGGGCGUAAAGAGCUCGUAGGCGGCUUGUCGCGUCGACCGUGAAAACUCACAGCUCAACUGUGAGCUUGCGGUCGAUACGGGCAUCACUGGAGUUCGGCAGGGGAGACUGGAAUUCCUGGUGUAGCGGUGAAAUGCGCAGAUAUCAGGAGGAACACCCGGUGGCGAAGGCGGGGUCUCUGGGCCGAUACUGACGCUGAGGAGCGAAAGCGUGGGGAGCGAACAGG